AAAAGACUUAGUCCUAACCUUGUUAUUGGUUACCGCUAGACAUACACAUGCAAGUAUCCGCACUCCAGUGAAAAUACCCCCAAACUUUCCCUUUGCCUUACGAAGAAAGGGGAGUAGGUAUCAGGCACACCCAAGCAGUAGCCUAAGACACCUUGCCCAAGCCACACCCCCACGGGUACUCAGCAGUGAUUAACAUUAAGCAAUAAGUGUAAACUUGACUUAGCCAUAGCAGUACACAGGGUUGGUAAAUCUUGUGCCAGCCACCGCGGUCAUACAAGAAACCCAAAUCAAUAACCAUCGGCGUAAAGAGUGACCAUAUGUUAUCUUUUUAACUAAGAUCAAAAUGUAACUAAGCCGUCACAAGCUUAAGAUCCACUCAAACCCAACCUAAACAUCUUAGACUCAAUGAUCAAUUUAAACCCACGAAAGCUAGGACACAAACUGGGAUUAGAUACCCCACUAUGCCUAGCCCUAAAUCCAGAUUACCCCCCCCCACCCAGGUAUCCGCCCGGAGAACUACGAGCACAAACGCUUUAAACUCUAAGGACUUGGCGGUGCCCCAAACCCCACCUAGAGGAGCCUGUUUCUAUAAACGAUAAUCCACGAUCCACCCAACCACCUCUUGCCAACACAGCCUACAUACCGCCGUCGCCAGCCCACCUCCAAUGAAAGAACAACAGUGCGCUCAAUAGCCUCCGCUAAUAAGACAGGUCAAGGUAUAGCUUAUGAGGUGGAAGAAAUGGGCUACAUUCUCUAUUUUAGAGCACUCACGAAAAAGGACAUGAAAGCAGUCCUUAGAAGGAGGAUUUAGCAGUAAAGUGGGACCAUCAUCACCCCAAGCCCACUUUAAGCUGGCUCUGGAGCACGUACAUACCGCCCGUCACCCUCUUCGAAAGCCACCAGCAUCCAUAAAUAAUAAGUCCACCCCACCCAAGGCCAAAGACGAGGUAAGUCGUAACAAGGUAAGUGUACCGGAAGGGGCACUUAAACCAC
rnacentral:ncRNA from 1 species